UACGUAGGGGGCUAGCGUUGUCCGGAAUCAUUGGGCGUAAAGAGCGUGUAGGCGGCCAGAUAGGUCCGUUGUGAAAACUCGAGGCUCAACCUCGAGACGCCGAUGGAAACCAUUUGGCUAGAGUCCGGAAGAGGAGAGUGGAAUUCCUGGUGUAGCGGUGAAAUGCGCAGAUAUCAGGAAGAACACCCGUGGCGAAGGCGGCUCUCUGGGACGGUACUGACGCUGAGACGCGAAAGCGUGGGGAGCGAACAGG
rnacentral:rRNA from 1 species